UACGUAGGAGGCGAGCGUUGUCCGGAAUUACUGGGUGUAAAGCGCGCGUAGGUGGCAGGCCAAGUCUGUGGUGAAAGCGCCCGGCUCAACUGGGCAUGGUCCAUGGAAACUGGUCAGCUGGAGGACGGUAGAGGCGAGUGGAAUUCCCGGUGUAGUGGUGAAAUGCGUAGAGAUCGGGAGGAACACCAGUGGCGAAGGCGGCUCGCUGGGCCGGUCCUGACACUGAGGCGCGAAGGCGUGGGGAGCGAACGGGG
rnacentral:rRNA from 1 species